rnacentral:rRNA from 1 species
UACGUAGGGGGCAAGCGUUGUCCGGAAUUAUUGGGCGUAAAGAGCGUGUAGGCGGUCCGGUAAGUCAGCUGUGAAAGUCAAGGGCUCAACCCUUGAAAGCCGGUUGAUACUGUCGGGCUAGAGUCCGGAAGAGGCGAGUGGAAUUCCCGGUGUAGCGGUGAAAUGCGCAGAUAUCGGGAGGAACACCAAUGGCGAAGGCAGCUCGCUGGGACGGUACUGACGCUGAGACGGCGAAAGCGUGGGGAGCAAACAGG